rnacentral:tRNA from 1 species
CAAUUCGUAGUGUAGUUGGUAGCAUAGGACCCUGUGGAGGUUCAGGUCGUGGGUUCGAGACCCACCGGCGGCC